GUUAUUGAAGAAUCAACUAUAAAGCCUACAGAAAUACCAGUGCAAAAAGGAAUGGCAGCUCAUGACACAGCUGUGGUGGUAGUUUUGCCAAUUAUCUUCAUAGCCAUCAGUGCAGGACUUGCAGCCUAUAUUUUCUACGGAAGAAACCAACCACAAGAAGAUUUGACAAUUCUUUGUAUAGUGACAAUGUGGUUGGAUUUGACAAUUCUUUGUAUAGUGACAAUGUGGGUAUUGUACAUAAGGAUUUCCAAUCUCUUGUAGACAACCAAGAAUUAAAUUAACAAAUAUAACUGGAAAA